rnacentral:rRNA from 1 species
AUGAAAGCGGGCUGGCAUACCUUCGGGGUUACAGCCUUGCUGAAUUAUUCACCCGUGUCUUUUGCGUACUUCUUGUUUCCUUGGUGGGUUCGCCCACCAUAGGACAAACCAUAAACCUUUUGUAAUUGCAAUCAGCGUCAGUAAAAAAAUUAAUAAUUACAACUUUUAACAACGGAUCUCUUGGUUCUGGCAUCGAUGAAGAACGCAGCGAAAUGCGAUAAGUAGUGUGAAUUGCAGAAUUCAGUGAAUCAUCGAAUCUUUGAACGCACAUUGCGCCCUUUGGUAUUCCAAAGGGCAUGCCUGUUCGAGCGUCAUUUGUACCCUCAAGCUUUGCUUGGUGUUGGGCGUCUUGUCUCCAGUUCGCUGGAGACUCGCCUUAAAGUAAUUGGCAGCCGGCCUACUGGUUUCGGAGCGCAGCACAAGUCGCGCUCUCUUCCAGCCAAGGUCAGCAUCCACAAAGCCUUUUUUCAACUUUUGACCUCGGAUCAGGUAGGGAUACCCGCUGAACUUAAGCAUAUCAUAAUAAGCGGAGAAA